GAGGGAACACCUACUGUGUCAUGAAGAAUGGAUCAAUUCUUAGACAAAUUUGUUUGUUGGAGACAGCCAUGUAUUUCUAAAUGGCUCCAUCUUCUCUCAAGGCGUACACAUCUACACAGUGUUUUGUGCAUCUCCUGAAAAUAAUCAACGGACCACUCCGUCCUAUCCUGGGGUUUUGGCUCUAGUUGAGUUUUCACAUUCGGGACCUGAGAUCACCAAUAGUCAGGCAAGUUGACAGCAUGAAUAAAGUGAUAAGGCAGGAAAAGGUGAAGAGAUUUAAGAAUUGGCAUUAUAUAAUGUGGGGAAGGAGUCCUAAA